GUGCUUGCACUCCAGAGCCGAGUGGCGGACUGGUGAGUAACACGUGACUAACCUGUCUCCGGGAGGGGGACAACCUGGGGAAACCCGGGCUAAUACCGCAUGAUGUCCCAUCGCCGCAUGACGAUGGGACCAAACGGGGGCCUCUGCUUGCAAGCUCCCGCCCGGAGGGGGGGUCGCGGCGUAUCAGCUUGUUGGUGAGGUAACGGCUCACCAAGGCUGCGACGCGUAGCGGGUCUGAGAGGACGACCCGCCACAUUGGGACUGAGAUACGGCCCAGACUCCUACGGGAGGCAGCAGUGGGGAAUAUUGCGCAAUGGCCGAAAGGCUGACGCAGCGACGCCGCGUGUGGGAGGACGCCCUUCGGGGUGUAAACCACUGUCAGGGGGGACGAAACUCGGGAAGGCAAACAGCCUUUUCGACUGACGGUACCCCCAGAGGAAGCGCCGGCUAACUCCGUGCCAGCAGCCGCGGUAAGACGGAGGGCGCAAGCGUUGUUCGGAAUUACU
rnacentral:rRNA from 1 species